UACGUGGCCAAGCCAUGCCCAGACGCCAUCAUCAUCUUGGUGUCUCGUGGAUACGCCGAUCACUGGUCAACGAGGCGUGCCUGUGCAAGCCGGCGACAGAUAGUGAUUUUGUGAGAUCGACUUGAUGCUUAGAGCAGAGAGGCUCAUGCUCAAGACGUGAUUCUAGGCCAGUUUGAUUUGUCAUCCUAUCCAACUUUGGUGAUGCCAACGAUUUUUUUUUUGGGUAAAUUACAGACCAAACACUUAACUGACACUAGCUGUUUAAAUCAGACCAAACACUUAAUAACACUAGCUGAAUGACCACGCCUUGUUACGGAUAAAGAAAAAUAUUUUAUAAAUUAAAUACAAAUAUAUUUCCAUUAAAUGUGUUACACCUUUUCUAUAGAGAAUAUUCACCGUGGCUCGAUUUUAUACGUGGCUAACCAUUUAGAUUUAAUUAUUUUUAAUAUUAAGAUUUAAGAAGUUUAAAGAGGUAAAUUACAAAACUUGCAAUGAGAGCAUCAGUGUACGUCCGUCCAAAGGAGUAUUGAUGUUGCACUACAUAAGUUUUGGUAAUACUUGGUCUGUUCCAUAUUAUAAGACUUUUUAAUCUUGUCUAAAUUUAUCAAUACAUCAGUAUAUAUAUUUUACAUAUGUGUUUAAAUUUAUUAACAUACAUAUAAAUUAGUAGUGCUAGAAAAUCUUAUAAUAUAGAACAAAAUGAGUACUAAUCUACUUGGCUCAAUGUAAUGUAUAAUUUUGGUAUGAAUGCAACUUUUUUUCAUAUAGCUAUCCUAAGAUGGUGCCAAAACGCACCUACAAUUAUAAAUUUGCGAGUCCUCCAGAAAGAAAGAGCUCGAUGGUGACCGACGCAUACCUGGAUAGGUUUCGUAGGGAGGCACGGCACCAAUUUAAUCAGCGUACAGCGAACGUGGUUGGCUGUCGUCCACGGUCCAACGCACUUGGAAGGACAACCUAACAUAUAACACAUAUUAUCAGGAAUCAGGAUAGGUACACUCUUGAGAAAAAUAUUUUUUUAAAA
rnacentral:lncRNA from 1 species